rnacentral:rRNA from 1 species
AUGGCCACGGACACCGCCGCCGACGCCGCCGAGGGCAGGCGCGCCAGGGACGAUGUGUGGGUGGCGGCGGAGGAGGGAGACAUGUCUGAAGCCAGCGCCGGCCGGCCGCUGCUGUUCCGGACCAUGAAGGUCAAGGGAAGCAUCCUGCAUCCUUACAGGUUCUUGAUUCUGGUGCGCUUGGUCGCUAUCGUCGCCUUCUUCGCUUGGCGAGUAGAGCACAGGAACCACGAUGGCGUGUGGCUCUGGGCCAUGUCCAUGGUCGCGGACGCCUGGUUCGGUUUCUCAUGGCUCCUCAACCAGCUCCCCAAGCUCAACCCCAUCAAACGCGUGCCGGACCUCGCCGCCCUAGCGGACCGGCACGGCGAAGCCGUCCUUCCAGGAAUCGAUGUCUUCGUCACCACCGUCGACCCUGUGGAUGAACCCGUCAUGUACACGGUGAACACCAUCCUCUCUAUCCUCGCCGCCGACUACCUCGUCGACAAGUAUGCCCGCUAUCUCUCCGAUGAUGGUGGCACGUUGGUGCACUACGAGGCCAUGCUCCAGGUUGCCAGUUUUGCCGCGUUGUGGGUCCCGUUUUGCCGAAAGCAUUGCGUCGAGCCAAGGUCCCCUGAGAACUAUUUUGGGAUGAAAACCCGGCCGUACGUCGGGGGUAUGGCAGGAGAGUUCAUGAGUGAUCACAGGCGUGUGCGCAGAGAAUAUGGUGAGUUCAAGGUGAGAAUAGAUUCCCUUUCUUCAACCAUCCGCCGACGAUCUGAUGCCUACAACAAAGGAGAUGAUGAUGUACAUGCCACUUGGAUGGCUGAUGGGACACAAUGGCCGGGCACAUGGAUUGAGCAAGCCGACAACCAUCGAAGAGGACAACAUGCUGGAAUUGUUAAGGUCAUGCUAGAUCAUCCAAGUUGUAAACCACAACUUGGAUCUUCAGCGAGCACCAACAAACCAGUUGACUUGAGCAACGUUGACACAAGACUCCCAAUGCUCGUAUACAUUUCCCGGGAGAAGCGCCCGGGUUAUGACAACCAAAAGAAGGCAGGCGCCAUGAACGUGAUGCUCCGCGUCUCCGCCUUACUCUCCAAUGCGCCUUUCGUCAUCAACUUUGACUGCGACCACUACAUCAAUAACUCACAAGCUCUCCGCGCACCUAUGUGCUUCAUGCUCGACCCUCGCGAUGGUCAGAACACGGCCUUUGUCCAGUUCCCACAACGCUUCGACGAUGUCGACCCGACAGAUCGCUACUCCAACCACAAUCGUGUCUUCUUCGAUGGCACCAUGCUUUCGCUCAAUGGUCUCCAAGGGCCAACCUACCUCGGCACAGGCACCAUGUUCCAUCGAGUCGCGCUCUAUGGCAUGGAGCCACAACGCUAUAGAGCGGAGAACAUCAAACUGGUAGGUAAGGGCGCUGAGUUGGGUAAGUCGACGCCAUUCCUGAACUCAAUACCAGAUGGCGCAAUCCAAGACCGGUCUAUCACCCCGGUGUCGGUUGACGAGGGGCUCAUGAGUGACCUGGCCACCCUGAUGACAUGCGCUUACGAGGACCGGACUUCAUGGGGGAGAGACGUCGGGUGGGUGUACAACAUCGCGACGGAGGAUGUGGUGACCGGAUUCCGCAUCCACCGACAAGGGUGGCGUUCCAUGUAUUGCUCCAUGGAGCCAGCCGCGUUCCGUGGAACGGCACCGAUCAACCUCACCGAGCGCCUCUACCAGGUGCUCGGUGGUCAGGCGGCUCCCUCGAGGUGUUCUUCUCCCACAGCAACGCUCUCAUCGCCAGCCGUCGGCUCUACCCUCUACAGCGCAUCGCUUACCUCAACAUGUCGAUCUACCCGAUCGCCACGAUGUUCGUCCUAG